CCAGACUCCUACGGGAGGCAGCAGUGGGGAAUAUUGCACAAUGGGGGGAACCCUGAUGCAGCGACGCCGCGUGAGCGAUGAAGUAUUUCGUUAUGUAAAGCUCUAUCAGCAGGGAAGAAAAUGACGGUACCUGAGUAAGAAGCCCCGGCUAACUACGUGCCAGCAGCCGCGGUAAUACGUAGGGGGCAAGCGUUAUCCGGAUUUACUGGGUGUAAAGGGAGCGUAGACGGCAUGGCAAGUCAGAUGUGAAAGCCCGGGGCUCAACCCCGGGACUGCAUUUGAAACUGUCAGGCUGGAGUGCAGGAGAGGUAAGUGGAAUUCCUAGUGUAGCGGUGAAAUGCGUAGAUAUUAGGAGGAACACCAGUGGCGAAGGCGGCUUACUGGACUGUAACUGACGUUGAGGCUCGAAAGCGUGGGGAGCAAACAGGAUUAGAUACCCUAGUA
rnacentral:rRNA from 1 species